rnacentral:rRNA from 1 species
GAUUAGAGUUUGAUCCUGGCUCAGAUUGAACGCUGGCGGCAUGCCUUACACAUGCAAGUCGAACGGCAGCAUGGAGGAGCUUGCUCCUCUGAUGGCGAGUGGCGAACGGGUGAGUAAAGCAUCGGAACGUACCGUGUAGUGGGGGAUAACGUAGCGAAAGUUACGCUAAUACCGCAUACGCACUGAGGUGGAAAGCAGGGGAUCGCAAGACCUUGCGCUAUACGAGCGGCCGAUGUCAGAUUAGCUAGUUGGUAGGGUAAAGGCCCACCAAGGCGACGAUCGAUAGCUGGUCUGAGAGGACGACCAGCCACACUGGAACUGAGACACGGUCCAGACUCCUACGGGAGGCAGCAGUGGGGAAUUUUGGACAAUGGGGGCAACCCUGAUCCAGCCAUUCCGCGUGAGUGAAGAAGGCCUUCGGGUUGUAAAGCUCUUUCGGCAGGAACGAAACGGUGGGGGCUAAUAUCCCCUGCUAAUGACGGUACCUAAGAAGAG